UUAUAGGGUCCUGGACGGGGAAAGGCCAGCCCGGCGCCUACCGCAAGCGCCUGGCUGAAACGCAUCCACUACUCCCCUGCCAGGACCGAUCCGUACCAAGAUGGCGGCGCCCAGAGAGGGAACGUCUCAGGAGCUGGAGGCAGCCGUGGAGGAGGAGGAAGAUGCAGGACACAUGCAGGCAGAUCCGGAGCAGGAGGAGCCGGAGCCCAGGCUCCGAGACACCCCAGAGGACAUCUCCUUUGAAGCUGCUGCCAACACCAUUGCUUUCCACCCCAGCCAGGACAUCCUUGCAGCCGGCGAUGUGGAUGGCGAUGUCUAUGUAUAUUCGUACUCUUGCCUGGAGGGUGGGAACCGGGAGCUCUGGUCCUCAGGACAUCACCUGAAAUCCUGCCGGGAAGUGUCCUUUUCCCACGACGGACACAAGCUCUUCACCGUGUCUAAGGAUAAAUCCAUCCACAUCCUGAACGUGGAGGAGGGCCGGCUGGUGACACGCUUCUCCAAGGCUCACAGCUCAGCCCUGAACAGCCUGCUGGUGAUAGACGAGCACCUCUUUGCCACGGGGGACGAUGGCGGGAUGCUGAAGGUGUGGGACCUCCGCAAAGGCACAGCCAUCAUGGAGAUGCGGCAGCACGAGGAGUACAUCAGCAGCAUGGCCAUAGACGAGAACAAGAAGCUCCUGCUCACCACAAGCGGCGAUGGAACCAUGGGUGUCUUCAACAUCAAGAGACGGCGCUUUGAGCUGCUCUCAGAGCCUCAGAGUGGAGACCUGACGUCUGUCGCGCUGAUGAAGAGAGGGAAGAAAGUGGCGUGCGGCUCUAGUGAGGGGACCAUUUAUCUCUUCAACUGGGACGGUUUUGGUGCCACUAGCGACCGCUUUGCAGUAAAGGCUGAGUCCAUCGACUGCAUGGUCCCAGUCACGGAGAACGUCUUGUGCACAGGUUCCAUCGAUGGAGUCAUCAGGGCAGUGAAUAUCUUACCUAAUCGGGUGAUAGGCAGCGUUGGACAGCACCUGGGGGAGCCCAUUGAACAGCUGGCCAAGUCCCACACUGGUCAGCUGCUGGCCAGCUGUGGCCAUGACCAGAAGGUGAAGUUCUGGGACAUCUCAUCACUCUGCUCCAUGGUGGUGGAUGAUUACCGGAAGAGGAAGAAGAGUGGGCAGCUCAAGGCCCUGAGUAGCAAAGCCUCGGGCAGCAGAGAGGACUUCUUUGCCGACCUGAGAGAAGAGGCAGAGGCACCGAAGGAGGAGCAGGAGGAGGAGAGCCACAGCGAUGACAGUGACUGACAAAAGCCCAGUGGCCUCUGGGAGAUUCCAUCGCCAGGAAGCUCUGGGGGGACAUGGACUAUGAAGCCAGCAGAUUCUACAGCCGUGGGAAGGAUGUGUCCUCGCUGUUUUGUGGAAGCAGCUGGAGGCCAAGCUUAUUUUCCCAUAGAGGACUGGCUCGUCUGGGAGUGUUCCUGCAGGCCAGAGUGCUAGCAGGGCCCUUGGUGCAGCUGAGCUGAUGAGACGCAACGUCCCUCUCUCUGCCCUCAUUAAAGGCCAAUGCAGGUCUUAUGGGGAGAGGGGCUGGAACCUCCUGCCAGCUGGGAUGACCAGACUUUGUUUGGAAAGAAGCAUCACUCCUGAUGGGAAAGGAGUUUCUCCAGUUUUCUCUCUCCAGGAGGAAAUUACAUACCUCAGCCCCCUCUCCACCUUCUGUCCCAGCCCCUCCCUUGUGAGCUCUCACGAGCACCAGAUGCCUUAUGGGAUCAGGGCUGCGCCCUGAAUUCCUUCCCCACCCCUGCUGGUUGGCAGGAGCCUGGAGGUGAAUGUGGUGGUCUGUGGUCCAGGAGCUCUCUCCAAACUCCUUUGUGCACCAAAGACUCCCUGCAGCGAAUAGUGUGAAUUCCAGUCCCCUCUGCAUGGAGCACUGGGCCAGGGCCCUAGAGCAUCUGGCUGUGCUGGUCUAAAGCAGGUGCCUGAGCUCUGGGUGCUGCCUAUGGGAUGACACAGCAGAGGGUUCCCCGUUGCUCCUGUGUCACCAGAGAUGCCGAAAGCCACUUUCUCAGAAGUGCUGCUUAGGCACCUGUAGUAACAAGAUGUGGGACAGGGAGGGGAGUGGGAAGAAGAAUCCCCCUGGCUGCCAGCCAUGUUUCACACCGACCCCCUCCCUGGCCUCUUGAAGUUUGCUACAAACUACUGAGCUCAGAGCCCCUUUGCUGGUCCAGGCGAUAUGGGCACUGCUGCCAGCUGUAUUUCUGUCAGGCCAGGCUCUCCUCAGCCACCCUCACAACUUCUCCUCUCUUUAAAAGUGUCUUCAAGAAAAAAACCCAGCCAGUUGCACCAGCUUCUCUCCAAGCUGAGAAGAAUCAUGUAGACAAGAAACUUGGACAAGCCACAGUGCAGGGCCCAGGUGCUGCCUGUCUGAGGAGAGUGACUGAUUCCCAUUAUGAAUUUGUAUGUGAAUAAACCAUCAGGAAGCCUGUGUCCCGAGCUGGUCGGGGUGUGGAGACAAUUGGAAAUAUCAGCCAGAGAAUCCUAUUCACGGCAAAUGACACCAAGCUGGACCAGCUGGCUCCCCCCUAAAGAAAAUUCCCUGCCUGGGAUCACAUGGUGUGACACACUGACCAACCCUGGGGCUGAGAUUGUACCUGCACACAGGGACCCACCUGACCGCUGUGCCAUCCUGUAGCUCCAGGGCUGACCCUGCUGGCAGGCCCUCCCACUGCAAUCAGCUCAGCCCAGCCAAAGCCCUGGUGGGCCUGUCCUACCUAACAUCCAAGCCUUGGUGGAUGGCAAAACUGGUUCUAGGGCAGCUUUUUAACUGUGGCAUUCACAUAAUGUGUGAACCUCGAAGUCCUUCACUUAACUUUUAAACUCUUCCCUUCCAUGUGCUUGUCUCUCUGCAGUGAGUACAUGGCACCAUCCCCCACCCUCUGGGGUGGGGUGGGGAUGGAGCCUGCUGGCAGACUGGUCCCCCGUAUUUGUUCCUGCUCAGGACAUUGUUUCAUUCCAGACUUUCAUAAUAAAACACA